rnacentral:lncRNA from 1 species
GGGAGCACAAAGAGGGGCACAGGGCCACCAAGUGGGUCUUGGAUCUGCCCUCCAGGUGUGGGCCCAUCGCUGGAUGGAUCUGUCAGAACACGGCUUUGGGCUGGCCCUGCUCAACGACUGCAAGUAUGGCGCGUCAGUGCGAGGCAGCAUCCUCAGCCUCUCGCUGUAAGUGGGGUACCCACCAGGCCUGGGAGCUGGCAUGGAGAAAUGGGUCUUCCCGACCACAACUCCAACAGCUUCAGCGUGGCCCCUACGCGCCCUCCUCACCCCAGCUUGCGGGCGCCUAAAGCCCCGGACGCUACUGCUGACACGGGGCGCCACGAGUUCACCUAUGCACUGAUGCCGCACAAGGGCUCUUUCCAGGAUGCUGGCGUUAUCCAAGCUGCCUACAGCCUAAACUUCCCCCUGUUGGCUCUGCCAGCCCCCAGCCCAGCGCCCGCCACCUCCUGGAGUGCGUUUUCCGUGUCUUCACCCGCGGUCGUAUUGGAGACCGUCAAGCAGGCAAGGGCAGCCCCCAGCGCCGCUCGCUGGUCCUGAGGCUGUAUGAGGCCCACGGCAGCCACGUGGACUGCUGGCUGCACUUGUCGCUGCCGGUUCAGGAGGCCAUCCUCUGCGAUCUCUUGGAGCGACCAGACCCUGCUGGCCACUUGACCCUUCGGGACAACCGCCUGAAGCUCACCUUUUCUCCCUUCCAAGUGCUGUCCCUGUUGCUCGUGCUUCAGCCUCCGCCACACUGAGUCCCUGGGGCUGGGGUUUUGUUUGUAGAAGGCUCUGGGGACUCCUAAUUUCUGCUUCCCCAGCCUAAAGCAGGGAUCAGUCUUUUCUUGUGGAAUAAAUCCUUGGAUCGGGAA